AUUGAACGCUGGCGGCAUGCUUUACACAUGCAAGUCGAACGGUUACAGGCCGCAAGGUGCUGACGAGUGGCGAACGGGUGAGUAAUGCAUCGGAACGUGCCCAGUCGUGGGGGAUAACGCAGCGAAAGCUGCGCUAAUACCGCAUACGAUCUAUGGAUGAAAGCGGGGGACCGAAAGGCCUCGCGCGAUUGGAGCGGCCGAUGUCAGAUUAGGUAGUUGGUGGGGUAAAGGCCCACCAAGCCAACGAUCUGUAGCUGGUCUGAGAGGACGACCAGCCACACUGGGACUGAGACACGGCCCAGACUCGUACGGGAGGCAGCAGUGGGGAAUUUUGGACAAUGGGCGCAAGCCUGAUCCAGCAAUGCCGCGUGCAGGAAGAAGGCCUUCGGGUUGUAAACUGCUUUUGUACGGAACGAAACGGUCCGGGUUAAUACCCUGGGCUAAUGACGGUACCGUAAGAAUAAGCACCGGCUAACUACGUGCCAGCCGCCGCCGUAAUAC
rnacentral:rRNA from 1 species